GAUGAACGCUGGCGGCGUGCCUAAUACAUGCAAGUCGAGCGAACAGACGAGGAGCUUGCUCCUCUGACGUUAGCGGCGGACGGGUGAGUAACACGUGUAUAACCUACCUAUAAGACUGGGAUAACUUCGGGAAACCGGAUCUAAUACCGGAUAAUAUAUUGAACCGCAUGGUUCAAUAGUGAAAGACGGUUUUGCUGUCACUUAUAGAUGGAUCCGCGCCGCAUUAGCUAGUUGGUAAGGUAACGGCUUACCAAGGCAACCAUGCGUAGCCGACCUGAGAGGGUGAUCGGCCACACGGGAACUGAGACACGGUCCAGACUCCUACGGGAGGCAGCAGUAGGGAAUCUUCCGCAAUGGGCGAAAGCCUGACGGAGCAACGCCGCGUGAGUGAUGAAGGUCUUCGGAUCGUAAAACUCUGUUAUUAGGGAAGAACAAAUGUGUAAGUAACUAUGCACGUCUUGACGGUACCUAAUCAGAAAGCCACGGCUAACUACGUG
rnacentral:rRNA from 1 species